rnacentral:rRNA from 1 species
AGCUCGACACCUACGGGAGGAGCAGUGGGGAAUAUUGCACAAUGGGGGAAACCCUGAUGCAGCGACGCCGCGUGAGUGAAGAAGUAUUUCGGUAUGUAAAGCUCUAUCAGCAGGGAAGAAGAUGACGGUACCUGAGUAAGAAGCCCCGGCUAACUACGUGCCAACAGCCGCGGUAAUCUGAGCGGGCUGGCAAGGC